rnacentral:rRNA from 1 species
AUACAUGCAAGUCGAGCGGACAGAAGGGAGCUUGCUCCCGGAUGUUAGCGGCGGACGGGUGAGUAACACGUGGGUAACCUGCCUGUAAGACUGGGAUAACUCCGGGAAACCGGAGCUAAUACCGGAUAGUUCCUUGAACCGCAUGGUUCAAGGAUGAAAGACGGUUUCGGCUGUCACUUACAGAUGGACCCGCGGCGCAUUAGCUAGUUGGUGGGGUAAUGGCUCACCAAGGCGACGAUGCGUAGCCGACCUGAGAGGGUGAUCGGCCACACUGGGACUGAGACACGGCCCAGACUCCUACGGGAGGCAGCAGUAGGGAAUCUUCCGCAAUGGACGAAAGUCUGACGGAGCAACGCCGCGUGAGUGAUGAAGGUUUUCGGAUCGUAAAGCUCUGUUGUUAGGGAAGAACAAGUGCGAGAGUAACUGCUCGCACCUUGACGGUACCUAACCAGAAAGCCACGGCUAACUACGUGCCAGCAGCCGCGGUAAUACGUAGGUGGCAAGCGUUGUCCGGAAUUAUUGGGCGUAAAGGGCUCGCAGGCGGUUUCUUAAGUCUGAUGUGAAAGCCCCCGGCUCAACCGGGGAGGGUCAUUGGAAACUGGGAAACUUGAGUGCAGAAGAGGAGAGUGGAAUUCCACGUGUAGCGGUGAAAUGCGUAGAGAUGUGGAGGAACACCAGUGGCGAAGGCGACUCUCUGGUCUGUAACUGACGCUGAGGAGCGAAAGCGUGGGGAGCGAACAGGAUUAGAUACCCUGGUAGUCCACGCCGUAAACGAUGAGUGCUAAGUGUUAGGGGG